GAUGAACGCUGGCGGCGUGCCUAAUACAUGCAAGUCGAGCGAACGGACGAGAAGCUUGCUUCUCUGAUGUUAGCGGCGGACGGGUGAGUAACACGUGGAUAACCUACCUAUAAGACUGGGAUAACUUCGGGAAACCGGAGCUAAUACCGGAUAAUAUUUUGAACCGCAUGGUUCAAAAGUGAAAGACGGUCUUGCUGUCACUUAUAGAUGGAUCCGCGCUGCAUUAGCUAGUUGGUAAGGUAACGGCUUAUCAAGGCAACGAUGCAUAGCCGACCUGAGAGGGUGAUCGGCCACACUGGAACUGAGACACGGUCCAGACUCCUACGGGAGGCAGCAGUAGGGAAUCUUCCGCAAUGGGCGAAAGCCUGACGGAGCAACGCCGCGUGAGUGAUGAAGGUCUUCGGAUCGUAAGACUCUGUUAUUAGGGAAGAACAUAUGUGUAAGUAACUGUGCACAUCUUGACGGUACCUAAUCAGAAAGCCACGGCUAACUACGUG
rnacentral:rRNA from 1 species